UUCUCUCUCCUAUUGCCAUGUGAAGAGCACCAUGAUUAUAAGUCUCCUGAGACCUCCCCAACCUGCAGAACGGAGUUUAGGAGGGUUGAAUGCAUCUCAUAUAUUUUUACCUAGAUAUUCCAGAUGAAGGAAGGCCUUAUUGGUAAGUCUCAUUUCCCAAGGAAUCAAGAAGUCUGGAAUCCAAGAUACCAAAAGAGGAUACAUUAAACUGUGAGGAACCAGUAAGUUGUGCCAGAAAUGUAUCCUCGUGUUUGAUGAAAAAACAAGCAAGCAAACAAACUCUGAAGGAAAUGAGAGGGAAGAAAGGAAGAAGUGAGGCAUAAACCAAGGGAAAAUUGAGGCAUAUUUUCUUAAUAGAAGUAAGAUGCGAUGUGAUAUGGUUUGGCUCUGUGUCCCCACCCAAAUGUCAUUUUGAAUUGUAAUCCCCAUAAUCCCCACGUGUCAAGGGAGGGACCUGGUGGGAGGUGAUUGGAUCAUGGGGGCAGUUUCCCCCCUGCUGUUCAUGUGAUAGUUAGUGAGUUCUCACGAGAGCUGAUGGUUUUAUAAGCAUCUGACAUUUCCCCUGCUUCUCUCACCUGCCGCCAUUUCAGACGCGCCUUUUCUUCUCCUUUGCCUUCUGUUCUGAUGACAGACAGGACAGACAAUUCAAGAUCACAAAGUGGGUUCAUAUGUCACCUAUUCAAGAAAUAGUAUGAAAGCAAGUGUGUUUGUUUAGAGAGGAAGAGACUUGCAAGACAUAAAAUCAGAGUUAGCCUGUGGCCAGAUCAGCUGGCAGAAUGAAGUGGCAUUUGCUAAGAUGAAGAUGAUUACAGGAGCAAUACAUUUAGGAUAUGAGGAAUCUGAAGUCUUUUGAGGUUCCCUGUAAAGAUCUAUGAGGUACAUACAGUUCUUCAGCAAAAUACAAGUUCUAAAGAAUUCAAGAGAGGAGAUCAUCUUUGGAGCAAUAAAAUUUUGACUAGAUUUUUAUAAAGGUAAAUUUAUAUCAAGAUGGCUUUAAGUUUUAGAGUGGAAUUCUAUUACAAUGCAAUGAAUAGUCCCUCUAAACACACA
rnacentral:lncRNA from 10 species